GCUCACCAAUUGAGCGCACCUGUGUUGACUCAUUUCUCAGCCAGCGGGAUGCUCGUUUACCUGGAAAGACCCACAUUCGCCCUUUUCCCUCGGAAGCUGACGGCAUCAAACCAAGAUGACGCCUGGCCCCCUUUCGAGCGAGGAACAAACGCGGAUGAAGGGGCACGACCUUGGCUGUGGUUCAGGUCAGACAGCGGUGCCGGGACCGAGAUGGGGCCGCGCUCACGGCCGGGCUCCGGGCUGCGCUCUGGCGGGCAGGCCUCGGGGCGGGGAAGGGAGCAGAGUCGCCCCGGCAGAAGCCGCCACCUCUGGACGCCGUGGCUACUGCUCUUUCUUUGCGUUGUGACCCGAGACCUGCCUGAUCCUCACGCAGCCCCUGAGAUUUCCCACCUGCGAGGACGCCGAACCCGCUGGCAGGCCAAGCACGUGCUCAGCUUUAUCUGGCGCCCCCCAGUUGAAGGUGGCAGGUUCCAAGAGUGGCCACAUCUCAGAGAGACCUGCUAGGCCACCUCUGGCCGUGCAGAGAGCGUUCCCUGGUGAGGUGGCUCAAGCCGUGCUUCCUCCCAGUUAUUAGAGCUGCGAAUGGGGCGUGCGCGGCUCCUCCAGAUGCUGGUUCCAGGUGGCCUCAGGUGACAAGGAGCAGGGCCAGCAAUGCUAUGUUCGGGGCACCUGCUGCCAGCUGCAGGGGAAGCCCUGGGGCUGGCCCAGCAGUCCUGGAGGGGGGCCAGCAUGGAGCAGGCAGGAAGGGGAUGCUGAGGACCCCCUGAGGACCCCCCCCGCCCCGCCUGCCCAACCCAGGACACGCUCCCAGCGUGAGGACCAGUCACUUCUCCCCUAGAAGCUGCUUGGCCUGAACAGGAUGAGAUGCCCAGAAGGGGUGAGGUAACCUCUGAACUCAUACCCAAGUGGAAACUCACCCAGAUGCCAACUGCUGAGCGGGAGGACGUCUGUUCCAAGAGGGUGUGGACUCCCCCCGACGGGUGCACGGCGACCCCACACCCGUUCCUGCACCCGAGCCCCCAGGGCCAGUGCAGCCAGGUGACACAUGACCAGGGCACGGUCACUCUGAGGCCAAGGACAGAGCUGCCCUGGGGCCCAGGACCUCCCUUUCUGGCAGGAUGACGUGGGAGGGAUGCCGAUGAGAGGCACCCCGUGACCUGGGCUGUCGCUGAGGCAGCUGGAGGGUCUCCUCAGCUGGUUCCUCCUGGUCACAUCACUCUCGUUCAAGGGACCCAGGACACUGCUCUGGCCAGCCCGGCGUGAGAACUAUAACCCAGGCCCGUCACUGCUGGGUCCCCUCUGGCGGUGGCUGGAAUGCCAGGUGCCACUGUUUGGGGUCCAGGCAGAGGUUUCAAGCUGUGUGCCUCUGAAUCCGGGCUGCCUCCCGAGGAGAGACUGCUCACGCCUCCAGCCCCACUCCCACCCCAUCGCUCUGCUCCACCUGCUCUGUCUGGGGUUUAGAAGAGUCAUGCUUGCACCACAGGCUCUGGUGCUGGGACCGAGAGCCCCUGGCUGAAGGGAAGCCUUGGCUGUUCAUCACAGGCUUGGGGCUGGAAGGAAGCCCCACACCGGCCCUCAGGCUGGCUGCGUGGCUCAGACUCCCCUGCAGCCCAAGGCUGGGUCAGAGCCCUGCCCCGCACAGCUUGUGGGUUAGGUGACCAUUCUUUGACGGGGUGGAAGCAGGUGGACCCGAACCUUGGUGCCGUCUCGCCGUAGCUACGGACACUUGGACCCUCCCCGACUGUGGAGGGCUCAGUUUUCUUAUCUGCAAAAUGAGCAUAAUGUGCCUUCCUCUCAGAAUUGUUCCGACUGAAGAAAAACAUGUCCUCGGAAGGCUUUGCAGGUGCCGAGGACAUGAUGGAUUUCUACCUGCCGGCUGGGAGGCACCCCGAGCUCUGAGCUUCGGAAGCCUGGAGCCGGCCGCCUUCCGUGUCUCCUGAAGCAGGACCCCUGGAAGGGUCACUUCUGGGGAGGGGCUCCCCUGUGCCACCACAGGCUCCCGCCUCUGCUCAGGGGCACCCAGUCUGCUCUCCCCAGGCUGGUGAGGGCAGCGACCUGGGAGACCAAGUUCACGGCCUCACUCCCUCUGUGACAGCAGGGUCAGCCGACACCUGUGCCAAAGGGAAGUCGAGAUGGAGCAUGCAAAAAGCAUGUUCUGGGAGGGCAGCCGCGGACGUGGCUUCUCGCCUGUGUGCGACAAUGCACGUGGCAGGGCCCGGCGUGCAUCCAGGUCCACGCGCCGGGGCGCUUGCUUGAGAGUGGCCCGAGUGUGCUCAGCGCUGCGAGCCGGGGGGAGUCUGGUGUGGAACCUUCAGAGCCAGGCCAGCGGCGCUGCACUGGGGCACCCGAUGCAGCCCAGGUGCAGGCGUGGGCCCCUCCCCUGGCCGGUUCUCCCCGCCUGGACACGUGAUGCGUCCCUGAGCACGUGACGCCGCUCCCCUGGAAGUGGUUCACGGUGACAGUGACGUGCCUGCACUAAGAGCGGCGUGGAAGGAAGGUGACACCAUCCAGACGCCAGGCCCAUCUGUUUCUGGCAGCCGGUCAGUGUGAUUGGACAGCUGAAAAAAUGUUCCCUUCUUUUAAAAUCUUCCUCCCCACGUGCCUGUCUGUAAACCUCUCGUCAAGAAGACGGCGUCCGUACACUGGUCGUUAGGAUAUCUGAGCCAGGCCGUCUUUGCUUCCAGGGCCUCAUAAAGCCGGACAUUUAUAAUCUCCCCGUAUCACCCUUCAUACUGAAAGGAGCUGCCGCCGAGUGGGCUGCACGGGGACCGAUGGGCUCCACGUGCCGCUGUCCUGAUGACACGCGAGUGGUGCAAAGCCAAGCGAAGCGGGGGGAGCAGAGCCCUGAGCGCCGGCGCCUCUGCCUGGGGACGCCUUAUGGUGGAGGAUGUGCUCGUUCACAGCUGCUGCUGUGACACACUGGCACAAGCUCAGUGGCUUCAACAACAGGAAUUUGUUCCCGCACAGUCCGGAGCCACAGUCCCGAGGGGGACUCCCACUCUCUAACGCGGGCCUGAGCAGGGCUGGCCCUGCUGGAAGCUCCAGGCUAGAGGCCGGCCCUUUUCCAUCUUCUGAGGUACCUGCAGCCCUUGGCCCGUGGAGCCUCCUCCAUCCACAAAAGCACCGCCCCCCACCGCCUCGUCCUCGUCCCCACACCCUCUCCCUUUCCCGGGGAUUAGUGGCCGGGCCACUGGAAGAUCCAGGCCACCCGCCCGUCUCCAGACCCUGAACGCGAUCCCAGCCGCAGCAUCCCUGUGGCAUCCAAGGCCACCCUCAGAGCUUGCAGAGGUCACGGCGGGACACUCUGGGGGCAUUAUCCGCCCACCGCAGGGGACCGUUCCUUGGGUGUUUAGCUGGGCAGGUGCAGCCAGACGUGCCCUGUUGCCUCUUGGCGCCCCGCCCUCCGCUGUCCCGGCGGAGGGCGUCCUGGCCGCUGCCUGGAGCCCGGCCUCAAGGUCUUAUUUAGCAAGUCACCUGCUCCAGGGGCCGUGGGCGCCUAGCACAACAGUGGGCGCCAUUCAUCCGAGGGAGACGCGCUCAAAUAAAGGAGCCGUGAGU
rnacentral:lncRNA from 1 species